rfam:Ictidomys tridecemlineatus contig039361, whole genome shotgun sequence.
GGGGUUAUGGCUCAGCGGUAGAGCGCUCGCCUUGCACGUGUAAGGCCCUGGGUUCGAUUCUCAGCACCA